UACGAGGGGGGCAAGCGUUGUUCGGAAUUAUUGGGCGUAAAGGGCGCGUAGGCGGUUUGACAAGUCUGAUGUGAAAUCUCUGGGCUCAACCCAGAGUCUGCAUUAGAAACUGUCGGGCUUGAGUAUGGGAGAGGUGAGUGGAAUUUCCGGUGUAGCGGUGAAAUGCGUAGAUAUCGGAAGGAACACCAGUGGCGAAGGCGGCUUCCUGGCCUGUUCUUGACGCUGAGGCGCGAAAGCUAGGGGAGCGAACGGG
rnacentral:rRNA from 1 species